CCCUACGGGGCGCAGCAGUCGGGAAUAUUGCGCAAUGGAGGAAACUCUGACGCAGUGACGCCGCGUAUAGGAAGAAGGUUUUCGGAUUGUAAAAUAUUGUCGUUAGGGAAGAUAAAAGACUGUACCUAAGGAGGAAGCCGCGGCUAACUAUGUGCAAGCAGCCGCGGUAAUACAUAGGGGGCAAGCGUUAUCCGGGAUUAUUGGGUGUAAAGGGUGCGUAGAUGGGAGAACAAGUUGGUUGUGAAAUCUCUC
rnacentral:rRNA from 1 species